UUCCCAAUUAAGCUUAAAUAACAUUUUUAUGAGUUCUCGGAUUAUGUAAAGAUGGCAUAUGAAUUUGAAAAUAAUAAACUGUGGACUCGUAUAAAUUUAAGUGUGUUAGUAUUAAUACUGACUUUUUUUUUGAUUUUUGUUGGACAUUUACUGCAAUGUCCAUUCUUCUCGCUCAUUUCCAAAAUCCGUCGGCUAGAGUACAGAAGUUAGUCACCGUGGUUCCUAGCCUUUUCGUUUUUUUAUUCAAGUUCCGGUUUAUAUUUAUACCACAAGUGGCGAAAACUCUGCUCUUGUGAGUUUUUCUUCUUUAUAAAAGCGUCCAACAGGCGCUUUUUUGUUUGGACCUAGAAUCCGUGGAUCUAGACAUCCGCCAUCUUGAUUCGGCUCCCGCCCGCGUGGCGCGUUUUCUGUGGCGACAGCUCGUUCCGGCCCGCCAGUUUCUGGCAGACAAACGGGAUAGAGAAGACAUCCUCCGGCCUACCUGCGUGCGGUUUACGUACGAUCGGGCAGCGUACUGGAGUUGCCGACGUCCUCCCCCGCAACUAUAGAUCGGCCGUUGGUUUUUUUUCGAGCACGCCCUAACGACGCUGGUGCCCAACAUCUUGGUGCCCCCCGGAGAUAGGCCUAGUCCCGCCUCUGCGACGGCAGAUCAUCGCAUGAAUCUGCGAACCUCCGGUGAACCAGCAGUCGUCGUUUGCUAAAACCCUGCGCAGGUAUGUCACUCAUGGCCAUGAACACACAACACACACACUGACACACAACUAUGUUUAACGAAAAAAGAACAUAAUAUAAUUAAAAUGAAUUUAAGCUAAACUUACCUUUCUACAUUCAUUUAUGCUACCUGAGCCCUGUGGUAUAGUAGUUCGCCCGGGUUACGUUUUCUUUCCGUUCCACUUCGUUUUUCUGAGCACGUGCGAAUUGAUUCACUCUUUCGUUUUCGUCCGCUUCAGUUGGAUUUCAUUCAAAAUCAUAGCCAUCGUUACAAUUACUCUCCAACCGUUCAGAACUCCCCGAGAAUUAAACUCAUGCUAAAUUAGCUUAGUCGGGCAACGUAACAUCACACGACCAGUGGUCCCUCAA